UCAAUGAAACGCCGUUAUUUUCCGAGAAAUUCAAGUCUUUUCAAUAAUGGCUUUUACUCUCACACUAUUGAGGCCAGCGAGAAAGCGUAUAAGCCCGUGACAUCAAGCAACACAUUUUCUUUGCUAAUUUUAAAUAAUUCGUACAACUCUCACAGACGUUGUACCCACAUGCACGGUAACUCGAUGGAAAGGAAUAUAGUUUACUAAUUAACUAAUGCGGAACGGCAAACAAAAAGCCUUCAGAUUUUGAGAAAUUUAAGUUUUUAUUUAAUAAAGGCGUUUCCCACGCGGUCACACGGUCGAGGCCAGCGAGAAAGAGUACGCACCUGUGACAUCUAGAGCUGCAAAAAAUCGAUAGUACCAUCGAUAAUAUCGAUGGUUGGCCGCUGGUCACCGACUUCGGUAUUUUUCAGACUAUCGCGAUAGUUUUACAAAAAAUUCCCAUCACUUGGACUUCGAAGGAACAAGAAGUUUUCGACAGAAAUAUUCAGAUUCUGGUGGUUGUGGUGUUGUUGUGGUUCCUUAAAAAUGGAUGGCGGUGCAAAAAGUUUCAGGUCCCCCUUUAAUGCAGAGCAAGCCGUAUCUUUGCUAGAAAAAACACUUUCUAUUCUACCCCAUACCAACAAGGAACCCAUUUUAACCACCCAACCACCGGAACCACCAAAACCGAAAUCUUCUCUCCUCAAUUUUGUAAAACAAAACAUAGAGCUUAAACAGAGGUCUAGCAAAGUUAAGUUGAUAAUGCAAAUAAGGCAGUAUUUUGAAAAAAUGAACAUUGAUUAAAAUCAGGGCCCAUUGGAAUACUGGAAGCAACAUGAAUUAGAGAUGUCCCAACUGGCUAUAAGCGCUAAGCAGGGGCUCUGCAUUCCGGCAACCUCGACAGAAUCGGAAUGGAUGUUUUCCAAAGCGGGCCUAACAAUCUGUGACCGACGGGCGUCCCUAAAGCGAAAAACCGUCCACAAAUUGUUAUUUGUU